CGAGUAGCUGGGACUACAGGCACCCGCCACCGCGCCCAGCUAAUUUUUUGUAUUUUUAGUAGAGACGAGGUUUCACUGUAUUAGCCAGGAUGGUCUCGAUCUCCUGACCUCGUGAUCCGUCCGCCUCGGCCUCCCAAAGUGCUGGGAUUACAGGCGUGAGCCACCGCGCCCGGCCUAGAAUCUGCUUUUUAACAACAUAAUUCAAGUUUGAGAAGCUCUGCUAAGAAAAAAAAAAGCAACAAAAAAGGUGCCCUUCCUUACCUGUUCAGGUACGUGGUUUCUUCAAAUGUUCCUGUGUCUUCCCUAAAUACAAACCUACUUUCUCUGCUGGAUCCUCUCAACCACAUCUAAACAUUUAAAUCUCUCCCGUUCUAAAUCAACAUUCAAGCCAUUUUUAAAAACUGCCCUAUAACCUCUUAUCUCCAGGUAGUGAAUGAUUUAUGCUCUUUUCCUCUACAAAGCCAAACAUCUUCAAAGACUUUCUUAUAUUCUAUUUCUAUUUUGCUUCCUUUAUUUCUCAACACACUUUUAAAAGAGAUCAUUAGCUGUUGUCCCCUAUCAAGUCUUCCUCUUUUUCAUGGUAAUAAUACCCUAGCAUUUAGCCGGGCACCUGACUGUAAAGACUCUAAAGACUGUAAAGGCACUUGAGUAAAGAUCAUUUUCUAGCUUCCCUUCCAGUUCUGUGUGCCCAUGUUUCUAGGUUCUGAUUGUUGGGAUGCUAAUGGAAAUGAUAUGUGUAUCUUCUGAGAAAUUAUCUUAAAUGGAGAGAGUAUAACCUGCUUGUUUCUUAUCUCUUUUCUUCUGGUGCAAUGUGGAUGAAAUGCUCAAAUGCCACCAGCCAACAUGGACCGUAAAUUAAAUUUGGAAUGGAAGCCACACAUGACAUGGGAAUAAGAUGGAAAACUUUAGGUUAUCAUUGGGAUUUCCUGGCUUUUCCAAUCAACCUAUGGCCUCUAACAAGCUCACAAAACAGCAGGCUGAAGCUAUGUUCAUCUAAAAGCAAAACAUUUGGUUAAUUAAACCAAUUUAAUAAAAAAACUGAAUUUAUUGGAA